CUUAUUUUUUUAUAAGAGUGACGGGCGAUAUGUGCGUAAAAAUUAUUUUUUUCUUUUAAAAUUUCUUUUUCUUUUUUUUACUUCUAAGUUCUCUUUUAUUUAAUUUUUUUUUAUAUUUCCAUUUUUUUGUCUCUAUGUAUCCCACAAUUCCCUCUUAUAUGUGUUCUUUGUCUUGAUUUGCUUUUUUUUUAUUUAAAUUUCAAACUGUUGUUUACUAAACUGUUAAUGACAAUGAUAUGAAGGAUUAAAACAUAAGUUUAUUUUAUCGUGGGUUGGCUAUUAUGGCGCAGGAUCCCCUAGUAUUAUUUCUACCGCCAUUUUAUUUAGCUUUCUUUUUUUGAAAUACUAGCCUUUCUUAAUUUAGAA
rnacentral:rRNA from 1 species